AAAAGAAGACGGAGAGGGAGAAAGCGGGAAAGACGGAAAGAGAAAAAUAAUAAGAGGGGAAGAGAUGGAAGGAAAAAAAAAACAAAAAGGAGAAAUGGAGAUAGAGAAAUAAUGAUGGAAAAGAGGUAAACGUGGCGCCGGUUAUGCUGAAAGUCUCUUGUAAUAGCACGUUCGUCUCGUUGAAAAGGAAAGCGCGCGCGUGCGUGACACUGUAGUUUGACAGGUGCAAGGACGUGUGGAAAGGUGGAAGAAGAAGAAAGUGUCGGGAUUUUGAAGGUUGACGUACACGGGGGAGGCACGAGCUGCUCGACACACGAUAUUUCUCUUGGUGCUGCGUGACGUAACUAGGUUCCACCUUCCGCGUGGAAUGAAAUGUUCAACACGAGUCUACGGUUUAACAACGUUACAAAAAUGUGUAUGUGAGAGAGAGAAAGAGAGAGAGAGAGAUCGUA